rnacentral:rRNA from 1 species
UAAAAAAAAAGAGUUUGAUCCUGGCUCAGAAUGAACGCUAGCGAUAUGCUUAACACAUGCGAGUCGAACGUUGUUUCUGUGCUUACGUGUUGAAGGGAGGCAAACGAAGAGAAAAGCGAGAAGAAAAUUGCUCCGAGCUGCUCUACUGCCUACGUCAGUAAAGCCUGCGGCCUCUAUUUGCUUAAAGCAAAUGGAGCCUUGAUUGGCUGCUGCGUGCCAAUCAACCGUGAGAACAGUUGAAAACAAAGUGGCGAACGGGUGCGUAACGCGUGGGAAUCUGCCAAACAGUUUAGGCCCAAUCCUGAAUGAACGAAAGCUAAAAAGCGCUGUUUGAUGAGCCCGCGUAGUAUUAGGUAGUUGGUUAGGUAAAGGCUGACCAAGCCUAUGAUGCUUAGCUGGUCUUUUCGGAUGAUCAGCCACACUGGGACUGAGACACGGCCCAGACUCCCACGGGAGGCAGCAGUGGGGAAUUUUGGACAAUGGGCGAAAGCCUGAUCCAGCAAUAUGGCGUGAGUGAAGAAGGGCAACGCAGCUUGUAAAGCUCUUUCAUCGAGAGUGCGAUUAUGACAAGACUCGAAUAAGAAGCCCCGGCUAACUUCGUGCCAGCAGCCGCGGUAAGACGGGGGGGGCUAGUGUUAUUCGGAAUGACUAGGCGUAAAGGGCACGUAGGCGGUGAAUCCGGUUGGAAGUGAAAGUCGCCAGCUUAACUGGCGGAAUGCUUUCAAAACCGAUUCACUUGAGUAAGAUAGAGGAGAGUGGAAUUUCGUGUGUAGAGAUAAAAUUCAGAGAUAUACGAAGGAACGCCAAAAGCGAAGGCAACUUUCUGGGUCUCUACUGACGCUGAGGUGCGAAAGCAUGGGGAGCAAACAGGAUUAGAUACCCUGGUAGUCCAUGCCGUAAACGAUGAGUGUUCGUCCUUGGUCUGCGUCGUAUGCAAACGGCUGAUCAGGGGCUGAGCUAACGCGUUAAACACUCCGCCUGGGGAGUACGGUCGCAAGACUGAAACUCAAAGGAAUUGACGGGGGCCUGCACAAGCGGUGGAGCAUGUGGUUUAAUUCGAUACAACGCGCAAAACCUUACCAGCCCUUGACAUAUGAAUAAUUGUGUUUGUCCCUAACGGGAUGGUACGAAGUUCGUACAGGUGCUGCAUGGCUGUCGUCAGCUCGUGUCGUGAGAUGUCGGGUUAAGUCCUAUAACGAGCGCAACCCUCAUUUUGUGUUGCUAAGAUAGGCAGGGGGUCCAUUCUAGAGACUGACGAAGACCACGCCGUGAUAAUAAUGGAUACCGCCAGCGAAGUUGUCGCACAUAUUUGCACAUGGCUUCUUCCUUUCGGAAAAAAACAUACACCGUUGUAAAAUGGUACUCCGACGAACACAGCUCGCUCUCAUAGCACGGUACACUGAACACCGUGGCACUCAGUCUUAGUAAAAGUGAUGGACACUCCAUGCCAUGUGCUGCACUCACAAAAAACUGCCGGUGAUAUACCGGAGGAAGGUGGGGAUGACGUCAAGUCCGCAUGGCCCUUAUGGGCUGGGCUACACACGUGCUACAAUGACAAUUACAAUAGGAAGCAAGGCUUUGAGGCGGAGCGAAUCCAGAAAGAUUGCCUUAGUUCGGAUUGUUCUCUGCAACUCGAGAACAUGAAGUUGGAAUCGCUAGUAAUCGCGGAUCAGCAUGCCGCGGUGAAUAUGUACUCAGGCCCUGUACACACCGCCCGUCACACCAUGGGAAUUGGCUUUGCCCGAAACAUCAGACCAAGGAUCACCUAUUACUUUAGGGUUCCACUCCACGGUUGAGUGUGGUCUACUAGAGUAAUUAGUGGUCUUAUGUGAGAUACCAAGGUAGGGUUAUUGACUGAGGUGAAGUCGUAACAAGGUAGCCGUAGGGGAACCUGUGGCUGGAUUGACUCCUU